AUGCAGCAGUCGACCCCCACUGCCAGAACAGCCGUGAACCGCCGGAAAAUCCCCUACAAGGCCGUGAUUGCGCUACCCUCACUCUCCCUCCGUUUUGUGAAUUUCGGCCACAUUUGGCCUCCGUUCUUCGAUCUGACUUUGGCGAUCUCUUCUACGCAACCUCCUCUGCGUUUCUACGGUA